UACGUAGGUGGCAAGCGUUGUCCGGAUUUACUGGGCGUAAAGAGCGCGCAGGCGGCCAUAUAAGUCGGGGGUGAAAGCCUGUGGCUCAACCACAGAAUUGCCUUCGAUACUGUAUGGCUCGAGACCGGAAGAGGUAAGUGGAACUGCGAGUGUAGAGGUGAAAUUCGUAGAUAUUCACAAGAACACCAGUGGCGAAGGCGGCUUACUGGUCCGGUUCUGACGCUGAGGCGCGAAAGCGUGGGGAGCAAACAGG
rnacentral:rRNA from 1 species